GUAGGGGUCAGGGCUACAGCAGACCCUGAAAGCUGAGAAACACCCCACACACUCACACCAAGUGAGGAGAGGCUGCCAAGGAAAGGGAGGGACGGAACAAGGAGAGAGAAGAAAGGAGGGGCUGCCUGGCCGGGCUGCUGUCCCCCCUACAGAGCCAGCUCAGAUUCAGUUCCAGGAGCAGCUUGGCUGCGGAAGCAACGGCAGUCCCUCUCCACCAGGGAAGGGCAGCGGGCGGACCGGCACACAGACGGAGGGCCUGGGACUGGAAGUCCUCAGCCCCCAGCCUCUCGGCCAGGCCUGGCCCCAUGGCCUUCAAUGACCUCCUGCUGCAGGUGGGGGGCGCCGGCCGCUUCCAGCAGAUCCAGGUCACUCUGGUGGUCCUCCCCCUGCUCCUGAUGGCCUCCCACAACACUCUGCAGAACUUCACCGCCGCUGUCCCCACCCACCACUGCCGCCCGCCUGCCGACACCAACCUCAGCAAGGACGGGGAGCUGGACGCCUGGCUGCCCCGGGACAGGCAGGGGCGGCCUGAGUCCUGCCUCCGCUUCACCUCCCCCCAGCGGGGGCUGCCCUUUCCCAACGGCACAGAGACCAACGGCACGGGGGCCACAGAGCCCUGCACCCACGGCUGGAUCUAUGACAAUAGCACCUUCCCUUCCACCAUCGUGAUGGAGUGGGACCUCGUGUGUUCUCGUAGGGCCUUACGCCAGCUGGCUCAGUCCUUGUACAUGGUAGGGGUGCUUCUCGGAGCCAUGAUAUUCGGGCACCUGGCAGACAGGCUGGGCCGCCGGAAGGUGCUCAUCUUGAACUACCUGCAGACGGCUGUGUCAGGAACCUGCGCCGCCUUUGCUCCCAACUUCCCCGUCUACUGCGCCUUCCGGCUCCUCUCGGGCAUGUCGCUGGCUGGCAUUUCCCUCAACUGCAUGACACUGAAUGUGGAGUGGAUGCCCAUCCACACGCGGGCCUGCGUGGGCACCCUGAUUGGCUAUGUCUACAGCCUGGGCCAGUUUCUCCUGGCUGGUGUGGCCUAUGCUGUGCCCCACUGGCGCUACCUGCAGCUGCUGGUCUCCGUGCCUUUUUUUGCCUUCUUCAUCUACUCCUGGUUCUUCAUCGAGUCGGCCCGCUGGUACUCCUCCUCUGGGAGGCUGGACCUCACCCUGAAGGCCCUGCAAAGAGUGGCCUGGAUCAAUGGGAAGCGGGAAGAGGGGGCCAAUCUAAGUAUGGAGGUGCUCCGGGCCAGUCUGCAGAAGGAGCUGACCCUGGGCAAGGGCCAGGCCUCGGCCGUGGAGCUGCUGCGCUGUCCUGCCCUUCGCCGCCUCUUCCUCUGCCUCUCCAUGCUGUGGUUUGCCACUAGCUUUGCCUACUAUGGGCUGGUCAUGGACCUGCAGGGUUUUGGGGUCAGCAUCUACCUAAUCCAGGUGAUCUUUGGUGCUGUGGACCUGCCUGCCAAGCUUGUGGGCUUCCUUGUCAUCAACUCUAUGGGCCGCCGGCCUGCCCAGAUGGCCUCACUGCUGCUGGCAGGCGUCUGCAUCCUGAUCAAUGGGGUGGUACCCCAGGAUCAGUCCAUUGUCCGAACCUCCCUUGCUGUGCUGGGGAAGGGCUGCCUGGCCGCCUCCUUCAACUGCAUCUUCCUGUACACUGGGGAGCUGUACCCCACAGUGAUCCGGCAGACAGGCUUGGGAAUGGGCAGCACUCUGGCCCGAGUGGGCAGCAUUGUGAGUCCACUGGUGAGCAUGACCGCCGAGAUCUACCCCUCCGUGCCUCUCUUUAUCUACGGCGCUGUCCCCGUGGCCGCCAGCGCUGCCACUGCCUUCCUGCCGGAGACCCUGGGCCAGCCCCUGCCAGACACGGUGCAGGACGUGGAAGACAGGAGGAGAGGGAAGAGGAGGCAGCAGCGACAGGAGCGAAAGCAGAUGGUCCCGCUCCAGGCCUCAGCACAAGCGAAGGACGGACUCUGAGCGCUGAAAAGGAGUCUUACAGAGCCCUAAAGGAAGACAGGAUCCUACAGGCUGGAAACUGACAAGGGACUAAAAUGAAAGCAGCCAAUCGGAGGCUUUGUUUCAGGAUCCUCCCUCUCUGUGAAAGCUCCUGGGAACUUCUGGCAGCAAAGGAGGAGAAAAAAGAGAGCAGCUGUGACGUCAGGAUGCUGAUCCCUGCUCCUCUGGAUUCCAGCAGGGUCUGGACUCAAAACCAGUUUGCCACUUCCAGCUGUGCACCUGGAGAUUCAGCCUGCUAGCUGUCCUAACCCUCCGCACUGCACUUCCCGGCCUUUCUUGGCUGCUCUGCCUCCAGCGGGCCCUGGGUUGGUGGAGGGGAAGGAGGAGGAAAAGGGAGGGUGGAACCCAGCCAGAGAGCCACCUCUGAGUGCUAAUUUGGUGCCAGGCACGGUCCUAAGCACUUUGCAUGUAUUAACGCAUUCAGUCCUCCCAGGAGCCUUCUAGAGAUAAGUGCUGGUAUUAUCCCCAUUUUACAGGGAAGGAGAUCAAGGCACAGAGUGGUUAAGUAACUUGCCCAAAUUCACACAGCUAUUAAAUUGCAGAGUCAGGGUUAGAAGCAGACCACGUGGAAUGUGUGUGCCAGGACAUCCCCCCCUCCCCACCAAAUGCCCCGGGGGCUGUGAGGCGCUGAGACUUUGACCUCUUCCACCCCCAGGGCUGUGCUUCUACUCCUCCCUCCUGAGCUGAAAAGAGACCGAGAAGCGGGGGGUGGGGGGUGGGGGAGACCGGAUCACAUGGUAGGAACCAUGUGAAAGGAGGGAUAGAAGGCAGUUUAGGGAUCACAGCCAGGAAAAGAGGAAUAUCCAGUCACCUGCAUCAGCAAGGGAGCUCCCUUCAGGGAGGCUGGGGGUGGGGGGUUAGAGUGGGGAGGCCAUGGGAAAAGAUAGUCCUCUUAACACCCACAGGUGGCAGGAAGGAGGGGGCCAGCCGUGCCCUCUAGUACGUGUACUUGCUUAGUCAUGCUUGUCUGCUGACACACUGCCCCUUACUCUUUCCCCUGCAAGCGACCCAGCCGCCCAGACCCUCGUCCCCUGGAGAAAGUUCACACUCUCAAGCUGUACACAUUGCCUUCCAGGUGGGACCCGAGGGCUCGAGCUGAGUCAGGGCAACCUGGAGAGGGAAGGUGGCCUGGAGCUCCCCUGAAAAAGCCACAAAGCCCUGGGAGAGCUCAAGGCAGCUCAGAAAGCCAGAGGACAGACUGGGCAGAGCUGAAAUCACCGUAACCCACCCCACAUCCUGGAACAUCUGAAACCUCGGUGUUCCCCGAUGGUGCUGACAUUCCCAUGCUCCCCAAGAAUUUCUUGGCCAUUGUAGGACCCAGUAGAUGCCGGAGCACCACCAGCCCCACCCCUGCUGCUGUUUCUCAGGCAGUGUUGCCCUCGUGGCUGAUGAGGGGCACCUAGGAUGACAUCUUCUGCUUCUGCAGAUGUAGGGGUUUGGGGACCAGUGAUUUGCCCUACCCCUGCCUCAAAACCCUGCUAGCAGCUCUGACAUGUUCUGAUUCCUGUAGGUCUGUCAUCUCUGUGCUUAGAUCACCUGGUACCUGCAUCUGUCUCAACCAGAGCCAGUCCCUGGCCUGUCCCAGCUGCAUACACCCCCAACUGGUAAAGACCUGGUGCUGACUCAGGUGGCUUGCACCAUCUGCACGGACUCCGUUUCCCCAGCUCCUGGCCUGAGACUUCCUGCACUCACCCCAUGCCCUUGACCAAAUGGAAUUCUACCUUCCUCCCACUCUUAAGUCACCAGUAAGUGACUUCUGACCGGGUCUCCCCAAGGAGUCAGCCCCCAAACACUGGCUCACAUCUCAUCCUCUUGCCUUGGAGGGCCAAGUUCUAAUACAGUCAUGCACCACCCCAGUGGCCACAGAUGCUGUCCCCAGUUUUGAACACAAGGUCCCAUCUUCAGCCAGGGUAGGUAGAGCCUUUGAGGCCACCCUCAAUUUCUCUGCCUACAGCCUUGAGCACUUCCUGGACAGGAAGGCACAUUCAAGAGGUUCUUCACCUGCAUGACACUGGUAGAGGGCUCACGGGAAGCCACCUUCCCAGGGCCCCACCCUUGCAUCCCAGAUCCCACCUCAACAACUCAAGCUUCAGUCCACACCCACACCAAGCUCCUCCAUCAGGCUCUUCUCCCCACUUCCCAGGAGUUACUUGGCCCCUUGGAGAGCAGAUGCCCAGCCAGUUAAGCUUUCAUUUCGUGUGGUAGGCUGAAUAAUGCCCCCCAAAGAUGUCCACAUGCUGAUCCUGGAACCUGUGAAUAUGUUACCUUACAUGGUAAAAGGGACUUUGCAGAUGUGAAUAAGUUAAGGAUCUUGAGAUGGAGAGAUUAUCUUGGAUUACCUGGGUGGGCCUGGUGUGACCACAAUAGUG